CAGGAGUCUGUCCAAGAAGUACCAUCCUAAGAGAAGCAGAGAGGACGAGAGCAGGUACACCUGGUGUUUGGCGUUUGCGGCCACGCUCCGUCAGCUGAACGAACUCGCGGUUCAGAGAGAAGAACUCGCCGAAAACCUGAACACACAGAUCGUGUGUGAGCUGACACGAUACACACAGGAAGUGAAGACUGAGAGAAAGACUCAUUUCCAAGAUGGCCGCCGUGCCCAGCAGCACAUCGAGAGCUCCUGGAAACAGCUGGAGUCUAGUAAACGAAGGUUUGAGCGUGACUGCAAGGAGGCGGAACGAGCUCAACAAGUCUCCGAGAGAAUCGACCUCGACAACAAGACGGACGGA